rnacentral:rRNA from 1 species
UACAGGGGGUGCAAACGUUGCUCGGAAUCAUUGGGCGUAAAGCGCACGUAGGCGGUUCGUUAUGUCGGAUGUGAAAGCCCUUGGCUUAACCGAGGAAGUGCAUCCGAAACUGGCGAGCUAGAGUACUAAAGAGGAUCGCGGAAUUCCCGGUGUAGAGGUGAAAUUCGUAGAUAUCGGGAGGAACACCGGUGGCGAAGGCGGCCAACUGGCCCGAUACUGACGCUCAUGUGCGAAGGCGUGGGGAGCAAACAGG